rnacentral:tRNA from 1 species
GCUGAGGUAGCCAAGCGGACAACGGCGCAGGCCUUGAGAGCCUGUGGGGCUUAUGCUCCUCGUGGGUUCAAAUCCCACCCUCAGCG